rnacentral:rRNA from 1 species
UACGUAGGGUGCGAGCGUUAAUCGGAAUUACUGGGCGUAAAGCGUGCGUAGGUGGUUCGUUAAGUCUGAUGUGAAAGCCCUGGGCUCAACCUGGGAAUGGCAUUGGAAACUGGCGAUCUAGAGUGCGGUAGAGGGUAGUGGAAUUCCCGGUGUAGCAGUGAAAUGCGUAGAGAUCGGGAGGAACAUCUGUGGCGAAGGCGGCUUCCUGGACCUGAUCUGACGCUGAGGAGCGAAAGCGUGGGGAGCGAACAGG